rnacentral:rRNA from 1 species
AACGUAGGAGACAAACGUUAUCCGGAGUUACUGGGCGUAAAGGGCGUGUAGGUGGUUUUGUAAGUCUGGCGUGAAAUUUUCCGGCUUAACCGGGAAAGGUCGUCGGAUACUGCAGGACUAGAGGACGGUAGAGGCGUGUGGAAUUCCGGGUGUAGUGGUGAAAUGCGUAGAGAUCCGGAGGAACACCAGUGGCGAAGGCGACACGCUGAGCCGUACCUGACACUGAUGCGCGACAGCAUGGGGAGCAAACAGG